CCUACGGGGUGCAGCAGUCGAGAAUCAUUCACAAUGGGGGAAACCCUGAUGGUGCGACGCCGCGUGGGGGAAUGAAGGUCUUCGGAUUGUAAACCCCUGUCAUGUGGGAGCAAAUUAAAAAGAUAGUACCACAAGAGGAAGAGACGGCUAACUCUGUGCCAGCAGCCGCGGUAAUACAGAGGUCUCAAGCGUUGUUCGGAAUCACUGGGCGUAACGCGUGCGUAGGCUGUUUCGUAAGUCGUGUGUGAAAGGCGCGGGCUCAACCCGCGGACGGCACAUGAUACUGCGAGACUAGAGUAAUGGAGGGGGAACCGGAAUUCUCGGGGUAGCAGUGAAAUGCGUAGAUAUCGAGAGGAACACUCGUGGCGAAGGCGGGUUCCUGGACAUUAACUGACGCUGAGGCACGAAGGCCAGGGGAGCGAAAGGGAUUAGAUACCCCGGUAGUC
rnacentral:rRNA from 1 species